rnacentral:rRNA from 1 species
CAGGCUUAACACAUGCAAGUCGAGGGGCAGCAUGGUCUUAGCUUGCUAAGGCCGAUGGCGACCGGCGCACGGGUGAGUAACACGUAUCCAACCUGCCGUCUACUCUUGGACAGCCUUCUGAAAGGAAGAUUAAUACAAGAUGGCAUCAUGAGUCCGCAUGUUCACAUGAUUAAAGGUAUUCCGGUAGACGAUGGGGAUGCGUUCCAUUAGAUAGUAGGCGGGGUAACGGCCCACCUAGUCUUCGAUGGAUAGGGGUUCUGAGAGGAAGGUCCCCCACAUUGGAACUGAGACACGGUCCAAACUCCUACGGGAGGCAGCAGUGAGGAAUAUUGGUCAAUGGGCGAGAGCCUGAACCAGCCAAGUAGCGUGAAGGAUGACUGCCCUAUGGGUUGUAAACUUCUUUUAUAAAGGAAUAAAGUCGGGUAUGCAUACCCGUUUGCAUGUACUUUAUGAAUAAGGAUCGGCUAACUCCGUGCCAGCAGCCGCGGUAAUACGGAGGAUCCGAGCGUUAUCCGGAUUUAUUGGGUUUAAAGGGAGCGUAGAUGGAUGUUUAAGUCAGUUGUGAAAGUUUGCGGCUCAACCGUAAAAUUGCAGUUGAUACUGGAUAUCUUGAGUGCAGUUGAGGCAGGCGGAAUUCGUGGUGUAGCGGUGAAAUGCUUAGAUAUCACGAAGAACUCCGAUUGCGAAGGCAGCCUGCUAAGCUGCAACUGACAUUGAGGCUCGAAAGUGUGGGUAUCAAACAGGAUUAGAUACCCUGGUAGUCCACACGGUAAACGAUGAAUACUCGCUGUUUGCGAUAUACGGCAAGCGGCCAAGCGAAAGCGUUAAGUAUUCCACCUGGGGAGUACGCCGGCAACGGUGAAACUCAAAGGAAUUGACGGGGGCCCGCACAAGCGGAGGAACAUGUGGUUUAAUUCGAUGAUACGCGAGGAACCUUACCCGGGCUUAAAUUGCAGAUGAAUUACGGUGAAAGCCGUAAGCCGCAAGGCAUCUGUGAAGGUGCUGCAUGGUUGUCGUCAGCUCGUGCCGUGAGGUGUCGGCUUAAGUGCCAUAACGAGCGCAACCCUUGUUGUCAGUUACUAACAGGUUCCGCUGAGGACUCUGACAAGACUGCCAUCGUAAGAUGUGAGGAAGGUGGGGAUGACGUCAAAUCAGCACGGCCCUUACGUCCGGGGCUACACACGUGUUACAAUGGGGGGUACAGAGGGCCGCUACCACGCGAGUGGAUGCCAAUCCCAAAAACCUCUCUCAGUUCGGACUGGAGUCUGCAACCCGACUCCACGAAGCUGGAUUCGCUAGUAAUCGCGCAUCAGCCACGGCGCGGUGAAUACGUUCCCGGGCCUUGUACACACCGCCCGUCAAGCCAUGGGAGCCGGGGGUACCUGAAGUGCGUAACCGCGAGGAGCGCCCUAGGGUAAAACUGGUGACUGGGGCUAAGUC